ACUGGGCGUAAAGGGUCUGUAGGUGGUUUGUUAAGUCAGAUGUGAAAGCCCAGGGCUCAACCUUGGAACUGCAUUUGAUACUGGCAAACUAGAGUAUGGUAGAGGAAUGGGGAAUUUCUGGUGUAGCGGUGAAAUGCGUAGAGAUCAGAAGGAACACCAAUGGCGAAGGCAACAUUCUGGACCAAUACUGACACUGAGGGACGAAAGCGUGGGGAUCAAACAGGAUUAGAUACCCUGGUAGUCCACGCUGUAAACGAUGAGUACUAGCUGUUGGAUUCGGUGUAAAGGAUCUAGUGGCGUAGCUAACGCGUUAAGUACUCCGCCUGGGGACUACGGCCGCAAGGCUAAAACUCAAAGGAAUUGACGGGGACCCGCACAAGCGGUGGAGCAUGUGGUUUAAUUCGAUGCAACGCGAAGAACCUUACCUGGUCUUGACAUCCUGCGAACUUUCUAGAGAUAGAUUGGUGCCUUCGGGAACGCAGUGACAGGUGCUGCACGGCUGUCGUCAGCUCGUGUUGUGAAAUGUUGGGUUAAGUCCCGCAACGAGCGCAACCCCUAUUGAUAGUUACCAUCAUUAAGUUGGGUACUCUAUUGAGACUGCCGCUGACAAGGCGGAGGAAGGUGGGGACGACGUCAAGUCAUCAUGGCCCUUACGACCAGGGCUACACACGUGCUACAAUGGGUAUUACAGAGGGCAGCGAAGUAGCGAUAUGGAGCGAAACUCAGAAAGGUACUCUUAGUCCGGAUUGCAGUCUGCAACUCGACUGCAUGAAGUCGGAAUCGCUAGUAAUCGCAGGUCAGAAUACUGCGGUGAAUACGUUCCCGGGUCUUGUACACACCGCCCGUCACACCAUGGGAGUGGGUUGCUCCAGAAGUAGAUAGC
rnacentral:rRNA from 1 species